UACGGAGGGAGCUAGCGUUGUUCGGAUCUACGGGGCGUAAAGCGCACGUAGGCGGCGCCGUAAGUCAGGGGUGAAAUCCCGGAGCUCAACUCCGGAACUGCCCUUGAAACUGCAGUGCUAGAAUCCUGGAGAGGCGAGUGGAAUUCCGAGUGUAGAGGUGAAAUUCGUAGAUAUUCGGAAGAACACCAGUGGCGAAGGCGACUCGCUGGACAGGUAUUGACGCUGAGGUGCGAAAGCGUGGGGAGCGAACAGG
rnacentral:rRNA from 1 species